rnacentral:siRNA from 1 species
GAACUCGAAUGGAUUACUCAUAUG